AAUCGGAUCCGAGAGUCUUUUUCUAAAGGCCAGUACUGGCCACACUUUCUCCUGCCGCCUUCCUCAAAGCUGAAGACACACAGAGCAAGGCGCUUCUGUUUUACUCCCCAAUGGUAACUCCAAACCAUAGAUGGUUAGCUCCCUGCUCAUCUUUCCACAUCCCUGCUAUUCAGUAUAGUCCGUGGACCAAUCACACCAGCAUCGUAUGGGAGAGUGUAAGAAACAUGAAUCUGCAUGUCAACGAGAUCCCCAGGUGAAUCUACAAUUAUAAGAAAAAGUAAAAAGAGAAAAGGGAAAGAAAGUCUCUUGGUCCAGGGGAAUCCUGGGCAAGAGUGAAUAUACACUGAUAGCCACUUCAUAAUCCAGAAUUCCAAGGGAGACACAGUUUGUUCUUUGUAAGUAGCUCUACUGGGAGUUGGUGUAAGUCAGAGGCUUGGAGCUGAUGAGGAUUCUAGGUUCUAAAUCAUAAAGUGGGGAAUCAGUCAUUCAAUAGGCAAGACUAGGAAGUCCUCUCAUUAGAUGAGAGAUCUGUUCUCUGAUUGUCAAAUGGUAGCUGGUUUGGAUGAUGGCAACAAGACGAU